CCAAUAAACUCAAAAACAUAAGAAACAUAAAAAAACCUAUAAUUAAGUAUAUCCAAAUAUAGAUUAAAAAGGAUGGCGAAUCGUUUGCGCCGAUAAAUGUAAUAGGCCCAUUGUGACAUCCUUUAGGUAAUAUUUAUGUUCGUAAAAAAUGUUUUACGUUGUUCAAAAAUCUACAUUUAAUUGUAGUCAAUAGUAUUCAUAAGGUCUGCUUAUCGAGUUUUUUAAUCAAGAUAAGGAUGCUUUUCUCAGACCGACAAUCACCCGCGUCCUAAACGUCACGUUCUAAAAGUCCUCCAGAAGUCGAUCGACUUCAUUCUUCAACUAGAGACUGAGUAGCCGUUGAUUCCCCCUUUGUUCUUCUUCCCUUGUCCUCGUGGUUCUGAAUAUCAAAUUUGCAAUAACGUCCCAGUUCGUCCUAGAUUGCAGCACCAGCGUGACAUAAUUGCUUGGCUGCAGAACAUCAACACCAAUUUAUAAGCUCACCGCACGUCUCCAGUUCAACCAGGCAUUGCAGUCGAAAACUGGGUACUCCACAUCGUCGGGUGUUACUACACUAGACAACCUUUAUUUGCUGAUUAAUUUUUAGCCCAAGUUGGUGUCGCGUAAAAAAUCUUGGAUGUUACAACGCUCGCCAACAGCCUUCUAGCUAACCCUAACCAACUCCAAACAUUUUUUACAUUAAUUACUAAAUUUUUUAUACCAUCGAUUGCUUCAUUUUCAUGUUAUAUUUAAGAAAUCCUUCAUUUGAUAAUGAUAAGAAUGAUUUGAAAAAAAAAAUGAAUAUGUUAG